GUGUAUUUUGUUUGGUUCGUUGCAUUCAUCUUUGCAUCAUGUGCAUUGCAUCAUGUCAUCAUGCAACCCGUUUUAAAACUCAACCAAAUAAACCGUAUGGAUCUUCGGUCCAUUUAAAUCGAGGGAGUUCACAAGGUGAAAUUCUCUUUAUAACAUAUAAAAGUCUCCUACUAUUUUAGGGAGCUAUAUUGAAAUAUUCCAUUAGUGUGGAACCACCCUCAAACACACUUGCAGUUUAAAUUAUAUGCCUUUCAUAAUUUCCUUUCCAACCUUCUCCAAACCCUAUGCCCAAUUCUUUCCCUAACCAUUGCUCUUCUCUCUUUUUCUCCUUUCUUUUUUUCUAUAAGAGUAGAGAAGUAAGGAGAGAGGGAGCCCAGCUACCAACCCUUUUGGCCAAGGCCUCUCGCAGCCCAGCAGCCACCUCCCACCAGUGGCCUAUAGGCCCAUCCAGCCGCCGGCCUUCCUAGGCCAACUCCAGCGCUGGCCCAAGGCCCAGCCACACCCUCCAACCCUAGCAGUCUACCAGGCCCGACCGAAUCCCCUCUCAACUCCCUCGAACUCCUUCCCUCGUUCCCUCACCGCCGCCAGAGCCAUCUCCUCGAUCCUCCUCGCUCUCUCCUCUCACCUUCUCUCUCGCACUCACAGAGAGCAGCCCGAUCCCCAUCGCCAUCAGCUCGAGCCUCCUUCCUCCUCGAUCCGGCCCGCUGCCGGCGCCCUGCAGUCGUCGCCGUCUUGCCGCUAUGCUGCACCCCACCUCCAUGGCCGCCGCGCCCCGCCUCGAUGCCCGGAUGCCACUUCGCCCCGCCGCCCGACCCUGCUGGUCGAGCUCGUUGACUCGCGGCCGAGUCCUCCUCCUGCGCCGCACGUGCAGUCAGAAAAGGGAGGGAGAGCUCCAUGCGCCAUUCACUUCUCUCCCUUGACACCCAUCUCUCCCUCUCGGCCAUGGCAUCACCACCCUCAAACCGUCCCCUUCGGCCUCGACUCCGGCGAGCGCCGCGCCCUGCCAACUCUUCUCCGCACGAAGCCACCCCUCUGCUUCCUCGUUCCUUUGCCUGCGCACCGUGCAUUUUUGGUUCAGCCAUGGAUGGCCGGCUCUGCCAAGUUCCCCGUUGCCACAUCGUGGCCAUGCCCUCCUCCCGUGCUCGACGCCGCAGCCACACAUGAGGGCGCCUCCUCCCGCCUGCGCCUCUCUCUCCAGCAUGGCCGCCAUAGGCUCCUCAGGAAGCCGCGCCGCCCGCCUCUGGCCAUGGCUCCGGCGAGAACCGGGCAGCCCCACACCAGAGCUGUCGUUCCUGCUGCUGCCGUGUUUUCCCGUGACAAACGAAAUGGGCACGCCACCUCCCCGCCAUGGUGACGCGCGCCCCUGUUCAUCGUCGUGGUCAUCGUGACCCCUUUGUUGGCCGCCAAGACCACCAUGGUGCUGCCUUGUUUUGGUUCACUAAGGUCCGCACCGAAACAUCGUCACGGUCGACUACAUUUUGCUGUCCCGACCGGAACCAUCAAGUACUCGAGACACAAUGGCGCCAAGUGCCAAUAGGAACGUGAACGACUACCAUCGAAGUGUACGACUACGCGACGCCCGCCAAGUUCAAUGACGCUGGCCGCCCGAACGACUACCGCCGACGCGUACCUCUCCGUUGUCGUGGGUUUCGCCAAGUCCAACGGUGAACCCCGAAGUCAUCGGAUCCGUCAAGUCCAACAACGACUAUGUACAACUAUCAGCGACCACGAACGUCUACGAAACAUGUACCACGACCAUCGCGGAAGACCCCGUGGACAUCAAGUUCCGUGUCGUGACCCAGAACAUCUACGAAGCGAGAACGACUACUUCCACUACCACCGUCGCAAGAACGCCUACUUCCCUCUACAAACUUGAUCCAUCCUGUUUGCAUGCUUCGAUGGUAUAACCUUAAGACAACGUCCGUGAAUGAAUGCUUGCGAUGUAUGAGUUGCACCCUAUGUUUGCACCGUGUCCGAGUUGUCACUUGCUCGGUCCUCCUCGUUGCCAUGCCGUCCAUCCGUGGGACACCCGGUAUCCGGGAGUGCCCCACCAUCUUUUCCACGCAUCCGCACACUUCUCCUUUGCAUUGGUAUCUCAAUCGAGGUACCGGAACCGGAACGCUGCCGUGGCACCAUUUUUUUAUCGUUGUCGUGGCACCCCUUUCCUUUCCACCACGGUGACAAAUGCUUCUUAAUGCUCUUGUCAACUUUUAAUAAAAAUUGCAUAAACUUGUUCAUGUCAUCCGCAUCAUGAUAACAACAAUUAAAAUGUUUAAAUUGUUGUUGCAAUAAAUUAUUAAUGCAUAUGGGGGUUUACCGGAUUCGUUAUUAGUUAUACCUGGCCCCAUUUAAAUUCUUUAGAUGGUGUAGUUUUGUUAUGCCUCACCUCUUGCCAUGCUUAACAACAUUUAAUAUUGUUGAGUACAUAAACGCGAGAGAACUAAAUAAUUGAUGUGGUGUUCCGUCAACAUGCAACUCGUUGCAUAUUGAGCUCCACUUAACUUGUAGUUUUGUUUGUGCCCUUUGCCAUGCCAUGCAUAUUUAAACCGGACAUGCAUCAUACUUUUUUGCGCAUCAUACCAUGUUAUGUGAUGGUUGUUUACUAUGUUGUUUGCUUCUUUCCGGGUUGCUUCUCGCGGUAGCUUCGGUUUCGUUCCGGAGUUGUGAGGGUCCGUUCGACUACGUCCAUUUGUCUUCUUCAUGGACUCGUUCUUCUUCCUUGAGGGAUCUCAGGCAAGAUGACCAUACCCUCGAAAUCACUUCUAUCUUUGCUUUCUAGUUGCUCGCUCUUUUGCUAUGCCUAUGUUGCGAUACCUACCACUUGCUUAUCAUGCCUUCCUUAUUGUUGAGCCAGGCCUCUAACCCACCUUGACCUAGCAAACCGUUGUUUGGCUAUGUUACCGCUUUGCUCAGCCCCUCUUAUAGCGUUGUUAGUUGCAGGUGAAGAUUGGAGCUUGUUCCGUGUUUGGAACAUGGAUAUUUGUUGGGAUAUCACAAUAUCUCUUAUUUAAUUAAUGCAUCUAUAUACUUGGUAAAGGGUGGAAGGCUCGGCCUUAUGCUUGGUGUUUUGUUCCACUCUUGCCGCCCUAGUUUACGUCAUAUCGGUGUUAUGUUCCCGGAUUUUGCGUUACUCACGCGGUUGGGUUAUAAUGGGAACACCUUGACAGUUCGCCUUGAGUAAAACUCCUCCAGCAAUGCUCAACAUUGGUUUUACCAUUUGCCACCUAGCCUUCUCUUUCCCUUGGGUCGGCCGGCUCAAGGGUCAUCUUAUUUUAACCCCCCCUGGGGCCAGUGCUUCUCUAAGUGUUGGUCCAAACUGAGCGAUGUCCGAGGCUACCAGGGGCAACUCUGGGCUGGCUUACCCGACGCCUUGCUCAUCCGGUGUGCCCUGAGAACGAGAUAUGUGCAGCUCCUAUCGGGAUUUGUCGGCACAUCUGGGUGGUCUUGCUGGUCUUGUUUUACCAUUGUCAAAAUGUCUUGUAACCGGGAUUCCAAGCCUGAUCGGGUCUUCCCGCUAGAAGGAAUAUCCUUUGUUGACCGUGAGAGCUUGUGAUGGGCUAAGUUGGGACACCCCUGCAGGGAUUUGAACUUUCGAAAGCCGUGCCCACGGUUAUGGGCAGAUGGGAAUUUGUUAAUGUCCGGUUGUAGAAAACCUGAAGUUGACCUUAAUUAAAAUACAUCAACCGCGUGUGUAACCGUGAUGGUCUCUUCUCGGCGGAUUCCGGGGAGUGAACACGGUGUUGGAGUAAUGCUUGACGUAGGUUGUUCUAGGAUCACUUCUUGAUCAUAGUUGUUUGACCGUGCUUUGUCUUCUCUUAUCGCUCUCUUUUGCGUAUGUUAGCCACCAUAUAUGCUAGUCGCUUGCUGCAGCUCCACCUCAUACCUUUUACCCUACCUAUAAGCUUAAAUAGUCUUGAUCGUGAGGGUGUGAGAUUGCUGAGUCCCUAUGGCUCACAGAUACUUCCAAAACCAGUUUGCAGGUGCCGAUGAUACCGAGCAGGUGACACAACCAAGCUCAAGGAGGAGGUCGAUGAAGAUCUUGUCCUUUGUGUUGUUUCAUUUCUAGUUGAUAAGUAGUGGAGCCCAGUUGGGGUCGAUCGGGGAUCUGUGUAGCUUUUGGGGUAGUCUUCUUUUAUUUUGGCUCCGUAGUCGGGCCUUGAUUGUAUUUGGAUGAUGUAAUGCUUUAUUCAUGUAAUUGUGUGAAGUGGCGAUUGUAAGCCAACUAUGUAUCUUUUUCCCUUAUGUAUUACAUGGGUUGUGUGAAGAUUACCUCACUUGGGACAUUGCUUUCAAUGUGGUUAUGCCUCUAAGUCGUGCUCCGACACGUGGGAGAUAUAGCCGCAUCGAGGGCGUUACAAGUUGGUAUCAGAGCCUUCCCCGACCUUAGGAGCCCCCUGCUUGAUCGAAUCGUUGGCGUUGUUGAGUCUAGAAAAAUGUUUUGAGUCAUUUAGGAUUUUAUAUAUCGGAGAGUUAGGAAUUCUUUUUACUCCUCAGUCCCUUCGUCGCUCUGGUGAGGACUCCUGACGUAGAGUUUUGACUCUUCUCUUCUCAAAUUUCACUAACAAAAUUUAGGAUCACGCGGGUAUCUUGGAAUCGUUCCGAUGGUUUUGUGACGAGAACAUUGUUCUUGGUGCCUCCUGACAUUUAGGGGUUGUGGCAGUGUCCCGGGGAGUUGAGCUCCGAGGUGUUGUCGUCAUAAUUUUAUCGUUGCAGUUCUGGAAUACCUGAGUUUCGCCAACAUCAAAAAUCUCUUUUGUGCAGUUGUUGGUGAGAUAACCUCGAUGCCACCUAGUACUGGGGCGGGAGUUCGGGAGUAUUGUCAUAACUUGUAUAACGGGUGGUUUUCGAAGGUUGAGGUAAAUGAUUUCCGAAGGUUUCUUGGUUAUGUGUUGAAGGAUGGAUAUAGCUAGAUGUAGGAUUUGUUAGUUUUGGGUGAGAUAUUAUGCUUCCCCUGUAUCCCCAACACAUCAUUGCAUAACCGGAAAAUUUCGGGAGUUUAUAAGUGGGAAUUCAAGUAGCUCUUAGGAUCUGUUUUCGACAGAUGUAUGAUAUGAAAUUGGGGUUCGACGUCUACUGGUCCGCCUAUCCACGGUUGGUUUUACAGUGGUCUCGUUGUGUCUUAAAGAGUCCUUGGCUAUGCUGACUCAGGGAUGCUUCGUAUGUCAUGUGCACUGCCUUGUACAUGAUGGUGUUGUACGAUCGAGCCCAUGUAGGCCCCACCACGAAAACUUCAGACGAAAUCUCUAUCAUAUGUUUGUUCCGGCUUAUUCUGCAAGCCAAUCCUUUGUUUUUGUUUUGAGUUGUGGUAUUCGAGUUGCUUCAAAGUCAAAUGUUGAUUCCAUACCUUUUCCUAAGCGGUGUUCUCAUACCCUGAUGUGAACACUAAUCCUUCUCGAUCAUCGAGUUUGUCAUGUCAAUCCUUUUUAACCGGUGUGCUUCUCUUCAAGUGGAUCCGAUCAUUGCAACAUCUGCAAGAUCAAGUAUCAGUUCUUCUCAAUGGUGUUUGUUUCAUCCGUCCCCAAGUUGCCUUUGUUUUCCCGCCCACCCACCCUUUUUCUUCAAGGAAUCCGAUGUCUUAAUCAAGUAUCCUUUUAUUCUUGUGAAGUCUCUCCAUUCCUUUUCCGUCAAUGUUCUUAUCCGGUGAUUCUCAUGAAGAUUCUAACGGAGCUUCAAGUUCCUCAUUCUUCAUUCUUUUCAUCUCUGGUGGUUUCAAGUCAAGCUUUGUUGAUCAUGUCCUUUCCUCGUUUCAAUGCUUUCUCAUGCCGGUGCUAUUCUUAAUCAUUCACCUCUCGCUAUUCAUUUGUUCCGGAGUGCUGAAGAUAUUUCGAAGAUUUGUGUUUUCACUUUGCAUCCGUUCAAGCUAUUUCGAGGUCCUAUCUUAUUCAAGCCAUUUAAUUCAACCGGUGCAAUCUCUCCUUCAAAUCGUUCAAUGGUGUAUCUUUUGAGUGGGCCCUAACCCACACGUCUUUUCCCAGGAUCUUACCUGACUCUUCUUAUUUUCCCAGUGUUACUCUCAAAUUCUUUUCAAAGUUUGACGUAAGAAUGAGUUAUCAUCAGUCUAAUGCCUUUCCCCUUGAUCUUUCAAAUUCUUUCAUCGUUGGUUCAACCUUUCCAUUUUUCAUCCCGGAGUAUCUCAACAAUUUGGUGGUGUUUCUCAUCGUCAUUCUUAGAUAUUGAAGACCGAAGAAGAGUUUCUCUUUAAUCUUGCUCCAUUCUCUUCAAGAUUCAUGGCGCUAGCUUGUUUCCAUCCUCUCAUAAUUAUUUUCGAUUAUGAGAAUCUUUUUCACCCAUCAGGAGAUAUUCAAGGGUAUUUUCAGUUCAAUUAUCCGGAGCCCAUCAUUUCAGAAGACUUGUUCAUUCUCAGCUUUCAGCUCUCGUUCCCCAAAUCUCACUGGUGCAUCAUUCAAUAUUCUUUAAUCAGCGUGUGAUCUCUUCAUUUCAGUUGUAUCUAAAUUCUCUCAAGUAUCUUCGUUCAUUUCAUAAUUCUUCUCGGUGUUCCUUUAGCUUUUCUUCGUUCAUUUUCAUUUCUUACGGUGGUUCUUCCAGAUUUCUCUUCCUUAUGAAUUUAUUCGUUGUCAAUCCUACCGGUGGUUCAUAGAAGACCUUCCCAAGUUGGCGCUAUAUCUCUCUUAAUCCUUGCUACGAGAAUAAGUAGGGUGCCAAAUCCGUUGAUUGUCAUCAAUUUAAUUGGUGAAGGAUAAGCAUAAUGUAAUUCUUAUUCUUGUUUCGUCCAAAUGAUUCAAUUCCUUAUUCUGGAGUGGUUCAUCAUACAUAUUCUUGGUUUCAAGUGCUUAUCUUUCUUUUCCGGAGUUCCAAGCUCUCGCAAUUAUGUAAUCACGGAGAUCUAUGUAAAUCUUUACAAGGUUCCACCUUGUGUUUUCAACUACCCUUUCUUUCCGUUUGAUCAUUCUUUUGUUUAACGGAGUUCUUCAUGGAGGUUCUACAUGAUGGUUCAUCAAAGAUUUAAUUCCUUCUAGAAGUGUUCAUCAAGAUUCUUUUCAGAGGAGUUCAAGCAUUCUUCAUUUUGCUAUGUAGAGUGCAAUUCUUUCUUCUGUAUCAUUGGAGGUGGUAUUUUUCAUUCUUGGUAAUCUGAGUUCAUGUUCCAUGAUUCACAUGUUUUUAAGAAUGAGAUACUUUAAAUCCAUCAAUCUCGUCAUCGGAGUUAUCUUGGGUUAUAUUUCACCUAAAGCCUUCCCUAAGGACUGUUGCUAUCUAUGGUGCUUAUAAAGGACCUGAGUUCUUCUUUAUCCUCCCGGUGAAUUACUUUCUCGUCUCCUUGUUCAUAUCAAUCCAAUUCUUUUCCCGUGAGUGGCAACUUGUCAUCUCUUAAUUUGAGAUGUACUCCACAAGACCAUAUCAAGCUUAUCCUUUCGUUGUUGGUUUUCCAACAACUCCACUCGACCCAUCUCCUAAGGAUGCCUUCUCAAGCUCUUUUGUGGCAUAAGAUGGCAUUUUAUUCUCCAUUCUUUUAUUUCAAUUAUCUAUCUUCUAUUCUUUCUUCCGGAGGCCUUGUGAUGUUGCUCUUUUCAAUCAUCAUCUCGAAUUGUGAAGAUCAUGUUUUUCUUUUCGUGCUUAUCUGCUAAACCGGAGUGUCGUUCCCUCUUAUCAAAUUCUUCCCAUUCUGUCAAGUUUUGCCUCCCUUCUUAGACGGAGUGCUGCCCAAAUUAUAUCAUCUUUAUUUCCUCUCUACCUUGUUCUAUCGGAGUGCUUCCCGAUGUUGUUCUUCCUUGUCCCUCAUUUCUAACGGAGUGCUUUCAACUUUGUUCAUUUCCGUUGUAUUCUUUCUUUCAUGAAUUUGUUCCACCUCUCAAGGUGCGUGGUUUCACUCAUUUGUCCAAGAAGCAACUUUGUUUUACCUUUUCUCUUCCUCUUCCGUUUCCCUCCGGUGCCAUCCUAGAUCUCGGGACGAGAUCCUCUCGUAGUGGUGGAGUCUUGUGACGCCCCAAGACCGGAGCUUCAGAUGCCUUCCAUGGGUUCCGAGUUUCGUCGUGUAUUUUGUUUGGUUCGUUGCAUUCAUCUUUGCAUCAUGUGCAUUGCAUCAUGUCAUCAUGCAACCCGUUUUAAAACUCAACCAAAUAAACCGUAUGGAUCUUCGGUCCAUUUAAAUCGAGGGAGUUCACAAGGUGAAAUUCUCUUUAUAACAUAUAAAAGUCUCCUACUAUUUUAGGGAGCUAUAUUGAAAUAUUCCAUUAGUGUGGAACCACCCUCAAACACACUUGCAGUUUAAAUUAUAUGCCUUUCAUAAUUUCCUUUCCAACCUUCUCCAAACCCUAUGCCCA
rnacentral:lncRNA from 1 species